AACGAACGCUGGCGGCAUGCCUAACACAUGCAAGUCGAACGAGACCUUCGGGUCUAGUGGCGCACGGGUGCGUAACGCGUGGGAAUCUGCCCUUGGGUUCGGAAUAACAGUUGGAAACGACUGCUAAUACCGGAUGAUGACGUAAGUCCAAAGAUUUAUCGCCCAGGGAUGAGCCCGCGUAGGAUUAGCUAGUUGGUGGGGUAAAGGCCUACCAAGGCGACGAUCCUUAGCUGGUCUGAGAGGAUGAUCAGCCACACUGGGACUGAGACACGGCCCAGACUCCUACGGGAGGCAGCAGUGGGGAAUAUUGGACAAUGGGCGAAAGCCUGAUCCAGCAAUGCCGCGUGAGUGAUGAAGGCCUUAGGGUUGUAAAGCUCUUUUACCCGGGAUGAUAAUGACAGUACCGGAAGAAUAAGCCCCGGCUAACUCCGUC
rnacentral:rRNA from 1 species